UGCUCCAGAAUAGCUCUUGGAAACGGGUGGUAAUGCUGGAUGCUCCAACUUGACGCAUGUCUUGUUGGGAAAGUGUUUAGUGGCAUGGGAUGGGGUCGCGUCCUAUCAGCUUGUAGGCGGGGUAAUGGCCCACCUAGGCUUCGACGGGUAGCCGGCCUGAGAGGGCGGACGGCCACAUUGGGACUGAGAUACGGCCCAGACUCCUACGGGAGGCAGCAGCG
rnacentral:rRNA from 1 species